rnacentral:snRNA from 1 species
AUACUUACCUGGCCAGUGAGGUACCAGGAUCAUGAAUGUGCCUUCCCCAGAGUGAGGCUUAUCUUUUUCAGUCCAGAUGUGCUCACCCUGUGAUUUCCCCAAAUGAGGGAAUCUUGACUGCAUAAUUUAUGGUAGUGGGGGACUGCAUUCUCACUCUCCCCCG